rnacentral:rRNA from 1 species
GGUAACGUCACCUCACGGAGUUAUUAACCCGCAAAGCCUCCUUCCCUACCGAAAGGGCUUUACAACCCGCAGGCCUUCUUCACCCACGCGGCAUUGCUGGAUCAGGCUUGCGCCCCAUUGUCCAAUAUUCCCC